UCCUCCUUACUGCCGCCCACCGAUUCCAUGGAGAAAAUAUUUGGCCAGAAUAAGAAAGAACAGCUGGAUCCAGUGCAGGCCAAAGUGACAGGCAGCAUUCCAGCAUGGCUGCAGGGGACCCUGCUCCGAAACGGGCCUGGGAUGCACACAGUGGGAGACAGCAAGUACAACCAUUGGUUUGAUGGCCUGGCCCUUCUCCACAGUUUCUCCAUUAGAGAUGGGGAGGUCUUCUACAGAAGCAAAUACCUGCAGAGCGACACCUACAACGCCAACAUCGAGGCCAACAGGAUCGUGGUGUCUGAGUUCGGAACAAUGGCCUACCCAGACCCCUGCAAAAACAUCUUUUCCAAAGCUUUCUCCUACCUGUCCCACACCAUCCCCGACUUCACAGACAACUGUCUGAUCAACAUCAUGAAAUGUGGAGAGGACUUCUAUGCGACCACAGAGACCAACUACAUCAGGAAAAUCAACCCCCAGACUCUAGAGACCUUAGAUAAGGUUGAUUACCGGAAGUAUGUGGCUGUAAACCUGGCUACCUCACAUCCUCAUUAUGACGAGGCUGGGAAUGUCCUUAACAUGGGCACGUCAAUUGUGGACAAAGGAAGGACAAAAUACGUGAUCUUUAAGAUUCCUGCCGCAGCACCAGGCAGCAAGAAGAAAGGGAAGAACCCCGUGAAGCAAGCGGAAGUUUUCUGCUCCAUCCCCUCUCGCUCGCUGCUCUCUCCCAGCUACUACCACAGCUUUGGAGUCACGGAGAACUACGUGGUGUUUCUGGAGCAGCCUUUUAAGUUGGAUAUCCUCAAGAUGGCCACCGCAUACGUGAGGGGAGUAAGCUGGGCUUCCUGUAUGUCCUUCUGCAGGGAGGACAAGACUUAUAUUCAUAUCAUCGACCAGAGGACCAGAAAGCCUGUGCCAACCAAGUUCUACACAGACCCCAUGGUGGUCUUCCAUCAUGCCAAUGCCUAUGAGGAGGACGGCUGUGUCCUGUUUGAUGUCGUUGCCUAUGAGGACAGCAGCCUCUAUCAGCUCUUCUACCUGGCCAACCUGAACAAGGACUUCGAGGAGAAGUCCAGGCUGACCUCAGUGCCUACCCUCAGGAGGUUUGCCGUGCCCCUCCAUAUCGACAAGGAUGCAGAAGUGGGCUCAAAUUUAGUCAAGGUGUCAUCUACAACAGCAACAGCCCUGAAGGAGAAAGAUGGCCAUGUCUACUGCCAGCCCGAGGUCCUCUAUGAAGGCCUAGAGCUCCCUCGGAUAAAUUAUGCUCACAACGGGAAGCCCUAUCGCUACAUCUUUGCGGCUGAAGUACAAUGGAGUCCAGUCCCAACCAAGAUACUAAAAUAUGACAUUCUCACAAAGUCUUCCUUAAAGUGGUGUGAGGAGAACUGCUGGCCGGCAGAACCUCUGUUUGUUCCCACGCCAGGUGCCAAGGAUGAAGAUGACGCCCCUUGCAGGCCAAGCAGAGACCAUGUGGUCCAGAGUCCCCUCAUAAAUCACACUGUCAGCUGAGCAUGGCAUGUGUGCCUGAGAUCUCAGCAUUUGGGAGGCAGACAGAAGACAACCAGGGGUCUAUGGUCAUUCUCAGACACACAGAGAAUUUGAACUACUAAGACCCUGUCUCCAAAAAGCAAUAGCAAUAAGAUAGAUAGGAGUCAUCUUAUCAGCCAUCGUCUCUACGGAUCCCCAAAAGCUGCCCUUUUUACUUAUUCUAGAUGCCAAAAGUUUUACAGAAUUGGCUCGCGCCUCUGUUGAUGUGGACAUGCACCUGGACCUGCAUGGCUUAUUCAUCCCAGAUGCAGACUGGGAUACAGUGAAGCAGACUCCAGCCGAAAUGCAAGAGGAUGAAAACUCAGAUCAUCCCACGGGUCUGACAGCACCAGGACUGGGCCACAAUGAAAAUGACUUCCCGGCAGGUCGGGGUGGCACAAGCCUUUAAUCCUAGCACUCAAGGCAGAGGCAAGCAGAUCUCUGAGUUCAAGGACAGCCUGG